ensembl:lncRNA
UCAUCGCCCUACUUGAACCAGAUGCCCUCACCAACCUCCAUGCAAUUGUAACAAUUCAAAAGAUGCAAAAGGAUGCUUUGGAGAUCCAAAUUUUGGAACAUAAGUUAUAGGAAAUAAAAAAAUCCUCAUAAUAAGUAGAUUGUCUUUAUUAGAACACGGGCUGUGGUGGGACAAGUUAUUUUGUUGAACAGUUUACUCAAAGGGUUUUACUUCAGUGAACAAUGCAGACGAUUAUGCUGAGCAUGUGCAUGUAGAGA